AACGAACGCUGGCGGCAUGCCUAACACAUGCAAGUCGAACGAGACCUUCGGGUCUGGUUGCGCACGGGUGCGUAACGUGUGGGAACCUUCCCUUAGGCUCGGAAUACCUCCCUUUCAGGGGUGCUAAUACCGGAUAAUGUCCUCGAACCAAAGAUUUGUCCUCCUUGGAUGAGCCCGCGUUGUACUAGCCAGUUGGUAUGGUAAAAGCCUACCACGGCGACGAUCCUUAGCUGGUCUGAGAGAAUGAUCAGCGACACUGGGACUGAGACACGGCCCAGACUCCUACGGGAGGCAGCAGUGGGGAAUAUUGGACAAUGGGCGAAAGCCUGAACAAGCAAGGGCGCGUGAGUGAUGAAGGCCUGAGGGUUGUAAAGCUGGUUUACCCGGGAUGAUAAUGACAGUACCGGGAGAAUAAGCACCGGCUAACUCCGUG
rnacentral:rRNA from 1 species